AAGGAAAUAAAAUGGGACGACGUAGCAUU
rnacentral:misc_RNA from 1 species